UUUAUUAAUUCAAUCACUCUUCAAAGUUCAUGGUGGCUGUGGUUUGCUGACUCGGGCGUUACUCAUUGUUUAUUGUAGGAGAGGAGAUUAAGUUAAACACCCUCAUUUUUCACCCUAGAUCUCCGCAGCCUCACCUUCUUCCUCUGCCUCCAACCGCUGCUUCUCCUCUCUUCUAAGGUUCCCUGCGUCUCCGCCGGCGCCAGCCACUAGUUCGCGGCCGUUCAUCGACGGUGCGUUCGACUUCGCGUUCUCCGCAAGUCUCGAUGAGGCGCUGUUCCCGGCGAGAUUCGCUAGAGAGAUGGAUUCGCCGUGUCAGGUCUGGUGGCUCGUGUGUUUAUUCGCUAGCAAGGCCCAAAUGAAAUAAAUUAUAUCCCCCGUUGGAUGAAAAACUCUAUGAUUGGGCCAACGAACGAGUGUCAAGACUGGCCUCGCAGGUUAAUCAAUGGAUAGAAAAAAGCACAGAAUCAUGAUGGUCUCUGAUUUUUUCUAUCCCAACUUUGGUGGCGUCGAGAACCACAUCUAUUAUCUCUCUCAGUGCUUACUCAAGCUAGGCCACAAGGUAGUGGUUGUAACUCAUGCAUAUGGAAACCGAUCUGGGGUUAGAUACAUGACUGGUGGUUUGAAAGCUUACUAUGUUCCGUGGAGGCCUUUUGUUAUGCAGAAUUCAUUCCCAACCUUAUUUCCCUCACUCCCCAUUAUUAGAACCAUUCUCAUUCGAGAAAGAAUCACUAUUGUCCAUGGACAUCAAGCAUUUUCCACUCUCUGUCAUGAAACUCUCAUGCAUUCUAGAACCAUGGGGUACAGGGUUGUAUUCACGGAUCAUUCUCUCUAUGGAUUUUCGGAUGCUGGAAGCAUACAUAUGAACAAGGUCUUGCAGUUUACAUUGGCUGAUGUGAGUCAGGCCAUAUGUGUUUCGCAUACGAGCAAGGAGAAUACAGUGCUGCGGUCGGGGCUGCCCCCGGAGAAGGUUUUUGUUAUACCUAAUGCUGUGGACACUGCAAUGUUCAAGCCAGCGGUGGUGCAGCCGAGCCGCUCGGAGAUUGUUAUUGUUGUUAUUAGCCGGUUGGUUUAUCGCAAGGGAGCAGAUUUGCUUGUUGAAGUCAUUCCAGAUGUAUGCCGUCUGCAUCCCAAUGUUCGUUUCAUUGUUGGAGGUGAUGGACCUAAGCGUGUUAGGUUGGAGGAGAUGAGAGAAAAACAUUCUCUUCAAGAUCGAGUUGAAAUGUUGGGAGCCGUGCCACAUGCACAAGUCCGAUCUGUUCUAAUAUCAGGACACAUCUUCUUAAACAGUUCGUUAACUGAAGCUUUCUGUAUAGCCAUAUUAGAGGCUGCUAGUUGUGGAUUGUUAACAGUUAGCACACGUGUUGGAGGAGUUCCUGAGGUUUUACCAGAUGACAUGAUCAUUUUGGCAGAACCUGAUCCUGGUGAUAUGGUGCUUGCAAUUGAAAGGGCAAUAUCAAUGCUGCCAAAAGUCGAUCCACAAGUCAUGCACCACCGGAUGAGGGAACUCUAUAACUGGCAUGAUGUUGCCAAAAGGACUGAAAUUGUAUAUGAUCGUGCUUUGAAGUGCCCCAAUCAAAAUCUACUUGAACGGGUCUCACGGUACAUUCUUAACAUUAUAUGUUGAAUUUGAUUGUAAUGGUAUUGUAUACUUUUCACUUUAAAGUUGUAAAGGGAAAUCUGGUUUUUAUUCUUUUUAUGUGAUUUGUUGAUUACUUGAGGAUAAAAUUACUUGUUCUGCUUCUAACAUAGUUUAGUUGGGUUGGUAGCUGGCAAAGCAAGGGAAUCAUUAGGUUUUUCAUUUAGUAUCUACACUAUUAUAUUUAUUCUUGCUAUGCGGACAGUUUUUUGGAUUACUAAAUUAAGAAACAGAACAUGAAGCUGAUUAUUAUUUCUGGAUUUUUCUCUUCCAUUCAAAGAUUGAUGUCAAUUGGAUAUCAAAGCCUACUUAAGGAAUGAAGGGGCUAGUUCUAGUAGAAACUGAUAGUCUCUGUUCUGUUAGAUACCUUUAUUGCGGAGUGUGGGCAGGCAAGCUGUUCUUCCUGGUUAUGAUAGUUGAUUUUUUGUUUUGGCGGCUAUUGGAACUAUGGCAGGUAAGCUAGUGGCCUUAGAUAUGCUUGCCAUUUUUAGCUUAUUUAUGUUUUUAGCCUAUAAGCAUACUACUUGCAUUUCUACUUUAUUAGCCUGCAGAAGACAUUGAGGAGAUGCCAGAUUUAACUCUUCCACACAUCUCCAACAAAGAGACAUUGCAAGAAACCGAAUGAAACGUGUAUUGUGAUACUGAAUUUUCAUUACUGUCUAGUCUGCAAUGCAGAAUACAAAGAGGAUAUUUUAUUGUUCAGUUGGCUUCGUUGCAUCGCUGGACUAGGCAGCUUCUGCACCAGAAAUCAGAGGCAUGAAGCAUGUGGAUUGCCAUUUAGAUUGUAGUGAGCCAAGGUAGAAGCUUUGUUAGUGACAUAGUGUCAAUGUGUUAGCAUUUACUUUGUUUAGUAAUCAAACAUGUCAAUUUGGUCUUUGGAAUUGAAAUCACGAUUUAUUUAUUUUUUCUGAGGUGCUUAGAGUUUAGGACUUUAGGUUCUUUCUUCCACGAGAAUUUGCGACUUCCAGUUUUUUGUUCCUCGGAAAUAGUCCCACAAGAAAGAUCCUCUCUUCCAUGUAAUGAAAAUUAUGUUUGAGAUAGUUCUAUUGACUCUAUAUGUAUGCUUAUUGAUUGGGCUAGUUUAAUUGACUGCCUAAAUUGCUUUA